GUCUUCGCCACCGCGUUCGUUUCAUUGGGCACUGUAGUGGCUUCCCGAUUACAUCUUCCAUGGCAAAGUAAUAUUCGCUCGACACUUUUCAACGUGAAAUUGCUCCUUUGCAGUUGGCAUCGGGCAUAGAUCAUCCCCAAGUCCCCUUCGGUGGUUUGCAUCCCAAAUGAGUGCCAAUAAUAAUAAUUUAGACGACUACACCAUUAAAAAAACUCUGAGUUUUGACAUCGAAGAUGACGAUCUAGAAAGUGACCUGGGUGAUGAACUUCGAGGAAUCUACAAAACUCGACUCAGAGAAAUGGAAGACGUCGAGGAAAAACGAAAUGAAAGUCAAAAGCAACAACUACAGUCUCUGCAAAAGUACAUCAAUGAGCUAAGUGAACAAAAUGAGAUACUGGUGCAGACGGUUGAGGAAUUGGAACGGGAGGCAAAUGAAAGGGUGGCCCUUGUAGAAUCAAAACUAAACAGAACAAACACUUCGCUUAAGGAUACUUCUAUUAAAGUUAGUGAUUAUGAAAGGCAGCUUGAAAAAGUCAAACAAGAAAAACAAGAGAUAACUCAAGAGCUUCAGGAAACUAAAGAUGAGUUAAAUACAACAUGUCAACAACUUGCCCAUCUUGACGCAAGGGCGGAGGAUUUAGACUAUGAUAUAGACCACCUUGUCAAUCUAAUCGGCACAGCUAGGGCUACUGGAAAGUGGGAGUUUAAAGGUUUAGAUCUGAGGACUGUUCCUCUUGAUGCCAUCCUUGGAGCCCAUGCUGCAGCCUCAAAGCAAAUGGGGGAAGGAGAGAAGAGAUUGACAGAGCACAUUGCCGAGUUAAAAAGACAGUUAACAGCUCGUGAUCAGAUCAUCCAAAGACUUCAGAGAGAUCUGAAAACAAAAGAACAGAGCUAUAAGCAAUUACUUGACAAAAGUGCCCAUGGUGAUGAAAAGAUCGGCUCCUAUGCUGGGGACUCCAAAUCUUUCGACUCUCACGCUGAAGAGUGUGCCGGGGCCAUGACGAACAAGGAUAUCCUUAUCCGUAAACUGAGACUAGAUCUAGAGCAGGCUCAGCGCCACCAGCAGGACUUGGAGAGAAAGUUGCGUGAGAGUGAGAUGGAUGUUGCCAGGCAAUAUGGAGAGAUUGGUAAACUUCAGGAUGACAAGGUGUUGCGCGCAAAUGAUAUGUCUGCCAAGGACCAUAACAUCAUGGUGCUGGAGAAGCAGUUUAAAGAGAGAAAAGUGGAGGUUGCAAAAUACCAGGAAAUCAUACGAGAACUGCAGGGCCAAGUCCAAGCAUAUAAGGAAGCUGCUCGUAACAUCCCUCCGGAUCUCACCCACGACUACGAGCAACGCAUCAGGAAACUACAGGCAGAACUUGAGGCCUCGGAGGAACAAAGACGAGCAUCCAAUCAGGAGCUGAUGCAAGUGCGGGCUCGACUGAGUGAGAGUGAGCAUGCGCUACAUGGCCAUAAGGAAGUCUUGACCCAAGAGCUCAUCGGUAAAGACUCAGAGCUUGACGUUAUCAAGGACCGAUAUAACGCUGCAUUAUCCGAGAUCCACGAGUACGACAAACAAGUUCGUCAGCUGAAGGCAGAUCGAAGCAACUCUCAAUAUGAGAUGGAAAAGAGCAGAUUCUAUACAGAACAACUCGAAGCAGACCUCAAGAAAUGCCGAGAGCAAAUAGCUGCGAAUCAAGAGCAGAUGCAAAGCUUGCAACAAGAGCUAUACACACUCAAGGCCACAGCGGAAGAUCAGAGAGACGCACUAGCCAAUGAGGUUGCUGAACGUCAUGAUACAAUUGUAAAGUUGAAAAACGAGCUCGGAUCCCUUGAUACCCGUUACCGUGAAGCGACUUCCUCGCUUACUCACAGAAAUUCCGUGAUACAGAGGAUGAGAGAUGAAAGCAAAGAUAUAUCUGAACAGGCAGAAGAAAGUAAACAUCGACAGCUAGAAUUAGAAAGCAAACUGAAUGCUGCAAAUAAACGGAUUUCUAAUUUGGAGGAGCGACUCGAGAAAAAGCAAAUGAGUAGCUUGGAGUCUUCGGAACAGCUUUCUCAAAUCAUUGAAGACAAAGACAGAGCCAUCCGUGACCUGAAGAGCGAGUUAUCUGAGCUUCGAGAGCGGGACAGACAGUCACAAGAGAAGGUUUACCAUCGUGAGGAAGCGAUCCAGAGGUUGCAAUCCCAGCAGAAAGACUGUUUAGAUGAGGUCUCAAGACGUGAGAAUUCCAUCCACAAACUUGAGUUGGAGCUGCUCGCUACCCAGGAGAACCACAGGCGCGCUCUUGAUGACAUCUCUCGACGAGACGAGACAAUCAGUCAGCUUGAAAACGAUCUGAAGUCUGUGAGGCAACUGCACAACGAGACUGUAGAGGAGAAAGGUAAGCUGGAGGCGAAGAUUCAGGCCUACAAGAUCUCAACACAGAGUGAACACGAAGUACUUGCCGAAGAGGUAUCUAAAAGAGAAGACGCCAUCCACAAACUGAAGAUCGAAAAAAUCGCACUACAGGAGCUGCAAGAAAAAGCCGAGCAAAACGUUCGCGAACAAGAGCGAGCAAUUGAGCGGAUUCGCCAACAAUACGAGGACUGCCUACAAGAUGUACAAACUCGUAACAAUUCAGUGGUGGAAAUGGAGAAUAAAUUAUCAGAGAUGAAAUCAAAGGCCGAUGAAUACACAGACCAGCUUGAACACUGUGAGGACACAAUCCGUGAGAUGAACCUCAAGAUUCACUCACUAGAAAGUAACAUCGACCAGAAAGAUCACGAGAACGCCAUGAAGGAAGACGCGAUCAACCAGCUGUCAUCAGAAAUGGACGAGCUGCAAGAACAGCACCGUGACAUCAUGGCUAAGAUGGCGAAAAGGGAAGAAAUGAUUGACCGGCUUAAGUCAGAGACAUCUUUUCUACGUGAUCAACAGCGAGAGAAGGAAAUAGAGAUAACCCAGCAGCUUGAGGUGGUGCAUAAGCUGGAGCGAGACUUGAGCCAGUCCACACGAGAACUUGAUGACGUCAAGCAAACCGCCGACAAAGAUAUCGCCAUGAGGGACGAGAGAAUACGCGGACUGCAAGAAGAGUUGAAUGACGUCCAAAAUCAGUACUCCGAGUGCUACGACGAGCUUGUGCACCAGGAGGAGUUGAUGGGGCGCCUACGUGACGAGAUCUCCUCUCUCCAGACCGAGUUCGCCAAAGCAAGCGACGAGCUUGUCGAGUCGAAUGAGACCAUACGGACUCUAGAGACGGAACUCGCGGUGUCAAAAGAGAAACAUCGGACAUGCGCACUUGAGGUUUCAAAGCGUGACGAAACCGUGUUGAGCCUGCAAGCAGAACUGGACGCGACUCAGCAGGAAUAUGAGAGUGUGACGUCAGAGCUCCGAGGUCGCGAAAAUGAGAUCGCCGAACUCAAGACGAGCAUCGGCCGACUUGAGUCCGAACUCCGAUCGCUGAAAUCCGAGCUGCAGAACUCGUCAGAAAAGAUCUCUGAAGAUGAGCACGAAAUCAGCCAACUGAAAAACGACAAAGCGAGAUGCAUGCAGGAGGUUCAGCGGCUUAUGCAGACCGUGCAGCACCUGGAAACUAGUUUAUCCGAUGCACAGGAAGCCCACGAAUCAGAGUCGCGGCGAUUAAACACGGAGAUCGAGACCCUUGGGAACAAUCUGACAGACUCCAUGAGGAAAGAGAACGAGACAUCUAACGGGUUACGUGACGAGCGCGAGAAAUCCAACAAGCUUGUCGUGGAUCUGCAGAAGACGCGCAAAGCUCAGGAUGAUUGCGAGAAAGAGAUCGGACGUUGUCAAGAGGUUAUUCAAAACCAAGAGAAUGAGAUCAAAGAAACCAGGAAAAAGGUCUCGUCACUCAAAGAAAGACUGAAGGAACAAGAAAACCAGAGCACCAAACUCCAGAACAACCUGACGUACUACAAGGAGCAGUUCAACCAGAGCGUGAUCCAGGUGAAUCGAUGUGAAGCCACCAUCAAGACCUUGGACUCCAACCUCAAGGACCUUCGUCAGCAGGUUGCAGAUCGCGACGAAGAGCUCAAUAAUAACAGACAAGAGCUGGAGAGUGUGAGACAGAGCUAUGUAGACGAGACUGAAAAGACUCAGCGGCAAGGUCGAGCACUUGAGGAGGUGGAAAGAGAACUGAAGCUUGCGAAGGACGCAUGUGAACGCUUCAAAAAUCAGGUAGCGCAUUGCGAAGAGAUGAUUCACAAUCUCAAGGCCAAGUUAUCAGAGAAACAGAAAGAGAGCGCAAUUCAAGAGGAUAAGGUCCGCCAUCUUGAAACCGACCUCAAGUCAUCCAACGAGCGAUGCGAAAACGCGUUCAAUGAGAUUGCCGAGCACGAGAAUCGAACACGUCUUCUGCAAAGCGAGUUAUUAUCGGAAAAAGAGCAACAUGCUCAAAGGGUACAACAGGUUACAUAUUACGAGGAAAGACUGCAAAGCAUGGAGAUGGAGAACGCGGGGCUCAAGGACGAGAAGCGACAUUCCUCCCAACAGAUAACGCGCAGUGAACAAGCCAUCCAGCAGUUAAAUAAAGACAUGUCAUCGCUCAAGCAGAAACACCGAAACGAGACAUUGCGGAGUGAAGAGACGAUUCAGAAUCUUGAGAUUGAGCUCGGCAACGCACAGAAUACCAACACGUCGCUCAUGCAAGACAUAACUCAGUUAAACAAUCUGCUGGCAUCGUCACAGAAGACGUUGAAGAUCCGAGAAGAUGAACUGAGAGAAAAAUCAAAUGAGUUGUACAGUUGCGAACAGACGAUGGAUGAUCAAAAUGAGCAGCUAAUGUCACUGAGAGCGGAUCAUAAGCAGCUUACUAAUGAGGCAACAAAACGAAAAGAACGCAUUGCGCAACUCGAAAAAGACCUAUCCUCGGCCCGAGAACAGGAACGAGAAACAAAACAAGAGCUCGCACAUCACGAAGAGAGGCUAAGUCUCAUGGAACAGAACCUCGCUUCCACGCAAGACCAGCUAAGCGCACGCGUGUCUGAGGUUGUGAGAUUAGAGAAAGCAAAUCGAAAGAUGCAGGUGGAGUUACAAAAAACAGGCGACCAGCAGAGCCAGCAAAACAGACAGAUCUCUGAGCUGGAAAUCCUACUCGACCAGUUGAAAGCAGAUCUGAAGGUCGCCCAGACUAGGCAGCAGGCUGCCGUGGAUGAGGCAGCGGCAUACGAAGACAAGGCCAGUAAACUCGAGCUUGAUUUAGAAACCGCUGAGAAGCAACUGCAAGUCUCGGAAGAACAGUUUUCAGUACAGCUUAAGAACAGUGAAGAGAUCCAGAAGCAAAAUGCGCAACAAAAAGAAAAGCUUCAAGAAGCACAAAAACAUAUUCGACACUGUCAAGGAGUUAUGGAAGAGCAGGAACACAAGAUCGCACAGUUUAUUGAGCAACAACAGGAAUUGAAAUCCAUGAUACGAGAGAAAGAGAAGUCCAUUGGUCAGCUAAGGGAAGAGCUCGGGGGUGUUCUAGAAAAGAAUAAGAACAUACAAGCCGAGUUGGACUACCGAUUACCAGGGGGAAGCUCAUUUGUCGACAGUCCCAGACGGCAGCCUAGAUUCAACGACUUCAGUACAGAUUGGGACAGCGGUAUGUCAUCUUUAGGCAGUGAUAUACCGAGAGGAGGAUCAUUUGGAGAUAGGACCAGGAAACUGAGUAAACUUCAGGAAUUCAGAGCCGAAGUAAAACGAUACGAAGAAACCUUACAACAUUUACAAGGUGAUCUCGGGCGAACGCAAGACCAGCACAAGACAUCCACUUCACAGAUAUCAAAUUUAGAAAAAAAUGUCCAGAACCUAAAAGUGCAGCUCGCAGGGGCCCAUGGUAACCACAAAGAAGCAAUGGAACAGUUAAUGCAACGAUCCAAGCAACUCGCCAACUUCAAGACCGAGCUUGCCACGACGAGGCAGAAAAACCAAGCAUUGGAGGAACAGGUAAAUGCGCUCGACGAGAGAAAUCGGAAGCUGAAGGGUGAACUAAAGCGCUACCAAGACAGGAACAGAUCAUCGGAAGGAGAGGCCCAGAAGUACGCGCGCACAGUGGAAGAGCUAAAGAAUCAGUUAAACAGCACACAAGACAAGCUGAUGCGCCAGUCACAAGAGGUCUCCCGGCGGGACGAAGGCGUGGUCGUACUCAAAGUCGAGCUCGCUACCCUCCAGGAGAAACACAGACUUCUAUUUGAGGAGAACGAAAAGUUAAAGCAAGAGCUUUCUUUAUCAAGGAGUCAGAACCAAAGCUGCUUGGAGGAGGUCCAGACUCUGCGGAUCUCUCUUGAGGAGGCUCGUGCAAAUGGCGACCGCUUGCACCGAGAGAGUGAGUUAGUGGUGGAGAACGUCAACAGCUGGGUCCAGGAGCAGAAACAUGGGAAUGACAGAUUAGCUGGAAAACUGAGAGAACAAAGUGCGCAAAUAACAGCUCUUCAGGGAGAAAAAGAUCGCCUUUCCGAUACCACGAGUGCCCUCCAAAAAGAAAACGCCGCCCUUAAGUCAGAACUCGAGGAACGACGUUUGGAGGGAGAACGACUAAAGAGUCUACAGUCGCACUUAGCCCGUCCCAUUAAACUAUUACGUAAAGCUUGUUCUCGUAUUCAUAAUAUUUUGCAUUUGUAUUUCUUCAGAGUCUACAGUCGCACUUAGCCCAUCCCAUUAAACUAUUACGUAAAGCUUGUUCUCGUAUUCAUAAUAUUUUCAUUUGUAUUUCUUCAGAGUCUACAGUCGCACUUAGCCCAUCCCAUUAAACUAUUACGUAAAGCUUGUUCUCGUAUUCAUAAUAUUUUCAUUUGUAUUUCUUCAGAGUCUACAGUCGCACUUAGCCCAUCCCAUUAAACUAUUACGUAAAGCUUGUUCUCGUAUUCAUAAGAUUUUGCAUUUGUAUUUCUUCAGAGUCUACAGUCGCACUUAGCCCAUCCCAUUAAACUAUUACGUAAAGCUUGUUCUCGUAUUCAUAAUAUUUUGCAUUUGUAUUUCUUCAGAGUCUACAGUCGCACUUAGCCCAUCCCAUUAAACUAUUACGUAAAGCUUGUUCUCGUAUUCAUAAUAUUUUGCAUUUGUAUUUCUUCAGAGUCUACAGUCGCACUUAGCCCAUCCCAUUAAACUAUUACGUAAAGCUUGUUCUCGUAUUCAUAAUAUUUUGCAUUUGUAUUUCUUCAGAGUCUACAGUCGCACUUAGCCCAUCCCAUUAAACUAUUACGUAAAGCUUGUUCUCGUAUUCAUAAUAUUUUGCAUUUGUAUUUCUUCAGAGUCUACAGUCGCACUUAGCCCAUCCCAUUAAACUAUUACGUAAAGCUUGUUCUCGUAUUGAUAAUAUUUUGCAUUUGUAUUUCUUCAGAGUCUACAGUCGCACUUAGCCCAUCCCAUUAAACUAUUACGUAAAGCUUGUUCUCGUAUUGAUAAUAUUUUGCAUUUGUAUUUCUUCAGAGUCUACAGUCGCACUUAGCCCAUCCCAUUAAACUAUUACGUAAAGCUUGUUCUCGUAUUCAUAAUAUUUUGCAUUUGUAUUUCUUCAGAGUCUACAGUCGCACUUAGCCCAUCCCAUUAAACUAUUACGUAAAGCUUGUUCUCGUAUUCAUAAUAUUUUGCAUUUGUAUUUCUUCAGAGUCUACAGUCGCACUUAGCCCAUCCCAUUAAACUAUUACGUAAAGCUUGUUCUCGUAUUCAUAAUAUUUUGCAUUUGUAUUUCUUCAGAGUCUACAGUCGCACUUAGCCCAUCCCAUUAAACUAUUACGUAAAGCUUGUUCUCGUAUUCAUAAUAUUUUCAUUUGUAUUUCUUCAGAGUCUACAGUCGCACUUAGCCCAUCCCAUUAAACUAUUACGUAAAGCUUGUUCUCGUAUUCAUAAUAUUUUGCAUUUGUAUUUCUUCAGAGUCUACAGUCGCACUUAGCCCAUCCCAUUAAACUAUUACGUAAAGCUUGUUCUCGUAUUCAUAAUAUUUUGCAUUUGUAUUUCUUCAGAGUCUACAGUCGCACUUAGCCCAUCCCAUUAAACUAUUACGUAAAGCUUGUUCUCGUAUUGAUAAUAUUUUGCAUUUGUAUUUCUUCAGAGUCUACAGUCGCACUUAGCCCAUCCCAUUAAACUAUUACAGUCUACAGUCGCACUCGGCCCAGCAGCAAGUGCUGUUGCAUCAGUUGCGAAACCGUCUCUCGGACUUCGAAAACGAACAAGACGCCGAUGCGGCCAACAAGGCGCACACCAUCGAUGACCUUCACGAAAGACUCAAGGUCAACGUAGACACGAUACAACAGC